GACUAUGGUCACACCUGGGCUCCCUUAGGUGGCUGUAUUUAGGUGGUGGGUUGACUGGCGGAUGGGUUUAGCUAUGAUGGCUCAGUUGAUGGUGUGUCUCCAUCUAUGUUGUCUUUCAUCCUCAAGGCACCUAUGUUGGGGCUUUUGGAACCUGGUGGUACCAGAGUUCCAAGAGGGUGAGAGGAAGUUGCAGGGACUCUUGAGACCUUGCUUGAAAAUAGUGCAACAUUAUUUCUGAUGCACUGUAUUGGCCAAAGGAAAUCAGGUAGUCUGGCCAGAUUUGGGAAGUAGGGAAACAGACUCUGCCUUUUUGAUGAAGAAUUUGUGACUAUUUUUUAUCGUCUACGAAUCCUUAUAAAAGUACUCAGAAUAUAGUAAGUGCUCAAUAAAUGUCGAACUGCAUGCAUGAAUGGAGAAAGUAGGUUGGAGUCCUGAAAAGGAAGAUAACAUAUUGGCAAUGCUGCUAUUGAAAAUGGAAAAAGGAACCAAUCAUGGAUAAGUAAAAGAAUUGCUGAGCAACACGGAUGGUCCAGCUGAGCUUGAAAAUUGUAAAUUUGUUUUUCCGCCAAUUUUCUCCAAUUGCAUUUGGUAGUUUGGGAGCAAGCCCACAGAAACAGAUGGUUGGGUUGAUCCAGGUUAGGGAUUAGUACUCUGCAAACUAGCAGUAGUGGGAGGUUGAGUCUGCCCAACUUGGUUCUGUGCCUUCUCAGCUCUCUGCUCACUCAGGAGCUGGCCACUCCAUGGAAUAUUCUGCAUCCUAAAUGUCCUCACUCAUUCUGGUCCACUGUCUGAUACCAAAACUCCAUGUUGGAUUACAAAGUAAGUUAAUUGAGAUUGUGAGCUAUGUGGUUCAGGCCUGAAGUGAAGUACAGAUAAACACACACACACACACGCACACAGACACACACACAGACACAGACACAGACACACACACACACACACACACACUGAGGAAUUCCAUUUGCAUUUCUUGGAAGACAUAUGGGGAUCUGAUUUUUCCAUUUUUUUCCUUUUCAAUUCUCCAGGCUACUGCUGGAGCCUUGUACUUCCCACCCCACCAUUCCCUGCUGUCAAUCCAGCCCUCAAGAAGAGCAGUCCUAUUCAUAAUGCUCCUACUAAUUUUCCCCAGUUCUUUCUCCUGGCUCAUUAGACCCUUCCUUUAAUUCUGUAUCAUAAAAGUCUUAGGAUUGACUGGCAGAAUCAGGUUUGUCUCCAAAGGUGGGGAAGAGGGUGAAAAGGGCAAACGUGAGAGUAAGCUGAAAAAUUGACAAUUACCAGGUCUUUUUGGCAACUAAGGGAGUGCUGAAAACCAUGACUACUUCUACCUUAUUUUUCUAGAUUUUUACCACUCAGACUAAUUUUAUCUUCUUUCACUGUACUUAAUAUUUUGAACCCAUAUUUACUUUCUUGGUCUUCCUUGCCCAAGAUGAAUGACCAAUUUCACUUUGUUCCAUGGCUCAUAGACAAUUUCUGUUUUGCCUAGGAUUCUUAGCCUCAGGGAAAGCCCUGUCUCUACACAAUCAUUUCCUCCUUUCCUAAUCAGCAUUCCUAUGCAGGGGAAGACCCACAGGAGGAGGCAAGUAAACCAAAGAAUCAAGAUUUAGUGCUUGGAUAUAAGACACUGAAACAGAGGAGGUCAAGGAAUUGGGUGCUUAGAUGAUUUUUCAGUGUUGGUGGUGGAGUUGCCUAAGAUGAUGGGGGAGAAUACAGAAGAGAAUAACUAUGAUGUGGUUUGGCUGUGUGCCCACCGAAAUCUCAUCUUAAAUUAUAGCUACCAUAAUCCCCAUAUGUCAUGGGAGCGACCCAGUGGGACGUAACUGAAUCACGAAGGCGGGUUUUUCCUGUACUGUUCUUGUGAUAGUGAACAAGUCUCUCGAGAUCUGAUGGUUUUAUAAAGGGAACAUAUUCUCUUGCCUGCCACCAUGGAAGGUGUGCCUUUGUUCCUCUUUCACCUUUUGCCAUGAUUGUGAGGCCUCCCUAGCCACAUGGAACUGUGAGUCCAUUAUGCCUCUUUUUUCUUAAGACUUUUUUCAACGUCUUGGGUAUGUCUUUAUUGGCAAUGUGAAAACGGACUAAUACAACUAUAAACCAAUUAACAAUGUCCUGAGAGAAUAUAUGGGGCUGCACUGAAUGUUGGUAGAUGGUGGAUAGAGUGGAUAGGAGCAAUGCCAAUGAAUGGAGGGUUUCAAGAAAGUGACAAGACAGUGGAUCAGAGGCAUGGAAACAGCUGUGGGAAAGCAGGAGGAGCAUGCUGUGCCUCCUUGAUAUGACAGGCUGAGUGGAUACUAGGGAGCAGCACUUUCCAUAAAAGAAUUGGAGGGAAGUUACACCAUCUGCAAAAAGUUAAGUGGAGUCAGUAAUCUCAGUUUGUACUUUCAGGCUGUAGAUUUCAGGAUAACAGGAAAAAGAUAUCCUCAGUUGUAAGAAAGUUACCUUGUUAGCUGUUUUGAGACUCCAAAGUGAAUCUUUUAGUAUAACUCCUUAAUUCAUUCUUGUAUCAAAUAGUUAUUGGCCAGGAACAAAACAGAGUGCUUAAAUAUAAGGACGAAUAAAAUAAGAUCUGCCAUUAAGCAGCUCACAGUCUUUUUAAGGCAGAAGGAAAACAGACAGGUAACUUAAAACAAAUUGUAAGUUGUAUGAUAGCAGUGAGCACGGUUCUAUGGAACACCGAGUAGAGUUGUCCUACCAGAAUAGGGGGUAGGAGGUAGACUCAGAAAAAGAAGCCUGAGCUGUGUCUUUAAAUAUGAGUUAAUGAGGUAAAAGAGUAUAUGUGUGUGUGUGUGUGUGUGUGUGUUAGGGAGAGGGAGGGGAUUGAGGUCCAGGAGCAAAAGGGAUUAUAAUUACUAUAUUUCAAUUUCACUCCAUUCUGGGUAGUCACAGUCUAAAUAGUUGAAUCAGGUUUAAUUGAAUCUCCAAUGUGAGAAGACUUUCCAUUAUUUCCUUUUAUAAGAGAAGUGGAGCCAAGCCGAAGCUCACACUUUGGCAACUGAUCCUGUGUAAACUGUAUUGCUCCCUGAACUAACCCUCUCUUGAGGCUGGGAAGACACUUAUGCUGUUGACUCGAUUUGAUCAAAGGACAGUUUGAAGGAAGCCAAUAUCAACAAACCUCUCUUUGGGCUGUCGGAAAUAGUGUUUCCAUUUUAUUUAUUUGAAAGAAUCUUGUGUCUUAAAUCUUGGGACGGGCCAUUUGAGAGUUGUCUGAUUAUUGUGCAAGUUGUUUUAAAAAGUCUCACAAGAAAUGAUUGUUUUACCUUUCUAUUUUAGUGCUAACCAGAUAUGGAUGGCAAAUAAUAGCACCACUGUAUAGUAGACAUUUUGGUGGGAAAAUGCUGUUCACAAGAGGAACCUUGGCUGGUCAUGAUAUUCUGGGCAACUUGGAUUGUUAAGAAGAUAACUUAUGUGACUAGCACUUUCCUGAAACUGCAAGACUCUUCUUCCCACAUUCAAACUUCCAGAAUGAAUUUUGUUGCUUGCAGUAGGUAGCACUACUUGUGCUCAGUUACUUAUGGCCCCCAAAAAUAGAGAACAGGAGUUAACAAAUGCUUUAUCUGAUGUUCACUAUAAUUUGAGCGUUUGCAAAGUAGUUCUAGUUCUUGGAUAUAGCAGUUGAUGGGACACUAGAGUUGAAUUCGUGACAUCAUAACUACUUAGAAAGAAUGAAAGAGGGAAAAUGGGUAAGAAUUUUUUAAGGAACCAGUUUCUCAGUUGUCAGUAUUUUCCUUUAUAAAGAUAAAAAAAUGAACAUUCAACUUUGAAAAGCAAGUGUUUUAUCUUUCAUGGGCUUGGUUAGGUGAGUAGAGAGAAUUCCAGUUGAAAUGGACAGACAGAGAGCCAAGGAAUUUUAAUAAAAAUCUGGGAUCUUUUCAUGUGAAGCAGAUCUGAGUCAAGGUAGUUCUGCCCUCAAGAAUCUGUUACAGUAAUCAUUUCCUUUGGGACUUAAAAAAAGGACUGUUGACAUUUGCUCCCUCUAGGUACCUAUAAAAGAGUUCCAGCUACAUAGAAGGGCUGUGAUACUUUCAGUUAAGCAAGGAAGAAGUUGUAAAUGUGGGCAAUAUAAUGUUAUAGGUUUCACUAAAAUUUCUAUUAUUUAUUCCAUCAGCUGGUUGCUUUUUAGUGAGCACCUAUUACGUGCUUUCUUGUUAGGAGCAGAGGAUACAGUAAUGAAGAAUAAAGUAUCUACUUUCUUGAAAAUCUGAGUCUAUCAGGGAGAGAGAUAGCACUCCAAUAGUGGAUUAAUUGUGAUUAUGAACAUCUACUAUAAUGGAUAGUAGAGAAGAUAAUUUGUAUGUAAUUGAAGGACCACAUUCUACUUAGCUUGAAGUCAUUGUGAUAGGAAAUCCCUGAAAAACCAGAUGGCACAAGUUACUCAGAAGAGAUGAAAGGGUUUUCCAUAAUUCAAAUAGGAGGAGGAAGAGGAAGUGUGGGAGUAAUUACUGGAUUAAGAUCACUGAAAGACAAGGUUGUCUUUAAGGGAGAGGCCAGCUCAGGUUUUGCAUACUGGAGGAAGUUUGUUUUAUCCAUUUGGGAAAUCAAGAUUACAUCUUCAUGGGACUAGAGAUUGUGGAGAACUCAUUCCUUCCAGCGCCAGCCCCUGGUGAUCUCAUUCUAGUGAGUAAAACCUCAGUGAUGUGAAAUGAUGAAAUGUCUCCAUGAUAUGAAGUGAAGUGAAUGACAUAGGCACUGUGAUGCAGCAUUAGGCUACUACAGUAUUGACCUUCUGACCAUACAUCAGAAAGAGGAUCAUCUGCUUCUGGUGAUCCUGGAUUAUCAAGCCAUGACAAUGUUGAUGGUUGCAUGUCAGGAACAGAUAAUAUUGAUGACUAACAGGAGGAAACAGAAGACUGAGAAGAAAAGAAGCUUGCUCAAGGUCACAUAGAGCUGGAAUUUAAAUUCAGAUCUAUUAUACUCUUAAAAACUGUGGAAGAGUUUUCCGACACUAGACAGGCUGACACAACUCUUCUACACACUCUGGUGUUUGUGUCUUCUGGUGAUCCUGGAUUAUCAAGCCGUGACAAUGUUGAUGGUUGCAUGUCAGGAGCAGAUAAUAUUGAUGACUAACAGGUCAAUUUGGAAAAUCCUGGUUUGUUAUCACAGUGCUGCUUAUUAACAUAUUUUCUAGUUCCUUCUUGAAUGAAGUUUGAGAAUUAAUCUUUUAUGGGAGGAGGUCUGUUUCAAGGAGGGCAGGUCUAUUCAAACCUACACCAAAGUUUGAGGAAGCUAAGAGGCUGAAGAAAGAGGCAGACAAACCCAGCUUCUUAGGAGAAAACACUUAACAGAGACUUACAAACAAGAGCUAUAUUUGUGUCUCCAGCAGUGGUGAGACAAGAUGGUGGAUCCGCAUGCCAUUACCCCCCAGAACCAGGACUUAUCUAACACACGGAAGGGGUUGUUCAGAAGGGAUAUAUAGGACAACUGAAGUAUGAUAACUUCAAGAUUGUUUGACCUAAGAACGGGAUUUAUGGUAAGUAUCUAGUAUUACACAAGGAACCACAGAUAAACUGGAAAUCCUAGAGGCCCUCCCAGAAAUGGGGUUAAUCAGAAGCCAACAUGGUGGAUUAGCAUCCAAAGUAGACUUGCUUUAGCCUCUACAGAGUCUCAAAAACAAUGAAAUUCCCUUCAACUUUUGCAAUCCCUUUACACAUAUGAAGAGAUAUUAAGCCAGGAGUAUCUCCCAUGCGUUACACAGACAUAAAGCCCUAGCAAAAGCCCAGCUGCUCUACCCUUCCAUAUGUGUCCUGGGCUCUGCAGCAUGACGAUCAUUGCCUGGUCUUCUCUCUAAUUUCUCGUUUUGUUCUGAUUCCCAGUCUUAGGAAUAUCUAGACCUUGACAAAGAUUUAUAUAUAUUUCAUGUGCUUCACCUAAGGUCGUUUGCAUUCUGUGUCACACAUGGUUUCAUAGGAGGUCACAGCCCUAAAAACAAUAACCACUGAUGGGGUUCAGGACACACUACACUAAAAUAUGCCACCUUGGCUUUGGAGCAAACAGCAGAAACAAGAAGAUCACUCUCAUCUUCCCCUUGCCCUUCUCCCCUUGUUAGAGUAGGUAAUAGGCAGAUAUGAACAAGGCAAGAAAGGGCCCCCCUUCACAACCAGGAAUGUCAGGCAACCAUCAGGUAAUGGUCAGGUGGUUGUUACACUGUCUCUAAAAUAAAAGUUGGUCACAGCUGACACUAAGGAAAGGCAGUCUCUAAAUAGAUUGAAAAAACCUGAAACCAGUGAUCAGCAGCUUUCUGAUAAGAUCUCAGGAGUUGGGCAAGUGGGCUCAAGCAGGCACACUAAGAGGCAAAAGUGUAGGGUUUAACUGGUACAUGAACUUUUAGGGACAUUCAACUGGUAAGGGAAGAACGCCUCAAGUGAGCAUGUGCACAACUCCAGUGAACACACCAUGCAUGCAGUACCUCCCAAGUGCUGGCAGGCCACUGUGCAUGCAGACAGCUCACCUCAAGGAAAGAAUCUGGGAAGAUGUAACACAAGACCCUGGAUGCAUCCCACAUAUAAAACCCCAAGCCAAAGGUCAAACUAGGCACUUGACUCUCUCAAGUCACCCACUUGGCCCUCUUCCAAGUGUACUUUACUUCCUUUUGAGAGGUGAAGCCAGCUGGGCUUCUGGGUUGGGUGGGGACUUG